rnacentral:piRNA from 1 species
UACCUUCUCUUCAACUGUGUGCCAUUGG